rnacentral:misc_RNA from 1 species
GAUGAAGAACGUAGCGAAAUGCGAUAAGUAAUGUGAAUUGCAGAAUUCAGUGAAUCAUCGAAUCUUUGAACGCACCUUGCGCCCUUUGGCCAUUCCGAAGGGCAUGCCUGUUUGAGUGUCAUGAACACCUCAACUCUUUAUGGUUUUCCAUGAUGAGCUUGGACUCUGGGGGUUUUGCUGGCUCACAGUCGGCUCCUCUAAAAUGAAUCAGCUUACCAGUGUUUGGUGGGUAUCAUGGGUGUGAUAACUAUCUACGCUUGUGGUUUUUCCACCAGGUAACCUUCAGCAGUGGAGGUUCGCUGGAGCUCAUAGAUGUCUCUCCUCAGUGAGGACAGCCCUUUGAAUGUUUGAUCUCAAAUCAGGUAGGACUACCCGCUGAAUUUAAGCAUAUCAUAAGCGGAGGA